GAUUAUUUCCUUUUGAAAUUUAUUUGUCUUAGAGUUAUUUUAUUUUACGCAUAACUUAUAAUAGUUACGAGAUUGAUUAAACAAUGGGUAUAUAUUCCUUUCAAGUGUUUUGUUUUUAUUGAUUUAAUGUUUUAAAACUUUCAACCAGAAACAAAAUUGUAAGUACCUAUUAUAUAUAUCUACCAACGUAAUACAUUCAUCAACCCAAAACGCAAUACUAUGGCAGACCCGGGCUGCCGUUAAAUCCAGACGCUUUGUAUUAUCGUGUAAACACGGUGAAACGGAAUGAUUCGAAACAAAUCCCAGUAUUAUUAAAAACAAUGAACAACUGAUUCGACUUUCCAAAUGUGUUAAUGAUUUUCUUUGGCGGAAAAUAACCAAAAUCCAAAUCCUGCCUUUCAUACCGAGAAACUAUAAUCGAUUGUUGUAAGAACAAUAAUAUUAUUUUUUUCAGACGGAGGUACCUGCGUCGUAUCGAGAACAGCUGUCGCAUUAUCAAAUCGUACUAUUUUCCUAUUAAAUGAAACAUUACAUUAUAUUUUCAUAAACAAACAGCAAUUUAAUACGUCAAAUAAAUUGAUUGACUGGUCCAGUUAUCCACCGAGAGUGCUUUACUAUUACACGGAUUUCCGAGAAAAAGGGUUUUGCACAUAAGGUUUCAAUAGUACAUAGUGAUAUUGAUCGAUUAAGCACGAAUGCGGGAUUUAAAGCCAAAAGUAAUAGGUACCUACUGAAUCAGAAUUUAAGUUUUCGGUUGUUUUUCGCAAUUUCACAAAAACUACUUAGGAAUUCCACAAAUGACCUGUUUAAAGUACCAUCUGUGUCCAAAUACCAAUCCAUAGACGGACUAUAUACAACUUUAUGACUUUGGAGUACUCUUUAUAUUCAUAUCAGUAUUAACAGAAAUACAAAACAACAAUAAUAGGUAAUAUUAAUGUAAUAACACUGCUCUGCUCCAAAUAUAAAAUGCUUAUCAUCAAAGUAGGUCAUUUUUCUUUUAAGUUAUUUAUUUAACAUAAAAAUAAUAAUUCCAUUAUGGAUGAUUUUAAUUGUUUUCAUGAAAAAAAGAUUAAAAAUAAAAAUAAUAAUUAUAAAUAAAACCAACAUGAAGUUUUAUGAUUGUUUGUUAUAUGUACAUGAUUUUUAUAUGAAUAGAGGUGAUUUAACUGCUUUGUUUCAUUUUUUAUGGAGUAUAUAAUUAUAUUUUUUAAAUAUAUGUAUGAAUAAUUUUUAGCAAUAAUUUAAAUUUAAAUACAUUUUGUAUGUUUUAUAAAUUAAACAAUUUGGCAAAUAUAGUUCACUAUAUUAUGUAUAAAUAAAUAUCUUAUAAAAUA